rnacentral:rRNA from 1 species
UACGUAGGGGGCCAGCGUUGUCCGGAUUCAUUGGGCGUAAAGCGCGUGUAGGCGGCCAGGUAGGUCCGAUGUGAAAUCUGGAGGCUCAACCUCCAGCGGUCAUUGGAAACCAUCUGGCUAGAGUCCGGAAGAGGAGAGUGGAAUUCCUGGUGUAGCGGUGAAAUGUGUAGAGAUCGGGAGGAACACCGGUGGCGAAGGCGGUCUUCUGGACGGUGACUGACGCUGAGGCGCGAAAGCGUGGGGAGCAAACGGG